AUCUCGGUAGUGAAAGGGAUAGAGCACGAUGCCCGGAAAGCACAAGUACGGGUUCGAGUCCCGUCCGAGAGU
rfam:Haemonchus placei strain MHpl1 genome assembly, scaffold: HPLM_scaffold0006181